GAUGAAGAACGGAGCGAAAUGCGAUAAGUAAUGUGAAUUGCAGAAUUCAGUGAAUCAUCGAAUCUUUGAACGCACAUUGCGCCCGUCAGUAUUCUGGCGGGCAUGCCUGUUCGAGCGUCAUUACGCCCCUCAAGUCCCCUGUGGACUUGGUGUUGGGGAUCGGCGAGGCUGGUUUUCCAGCACAGCCGUCCCUUAAAUUAAUUGGCGGUCUCGCCGUGGCCCUCCUCUGCGCAGUAGUAAAACACUCGCAACAGGAGCCCGGCGCGGUCCACUGCCGUAAAACCCCCCAACUUUUUAUAGUUGACCUCGAAUCAGGCAGGACUACCCGCUGAACUUAAGCAUAUCAAUAAGCGGAGGA
rnacentral:misc_RNA from 1 species